GGAAAAAAUGUAUUAUUUAACUUCAAUGCUAUUGGAUUUUUCUUUUAUGUUGGAUAUAGAAAUAGGACAGAUGAACAGAGUGGGACGAGAAAAUUCCUUCAAGAAUCACAGUUGUUGUGGGUCCCAAGAAGCCUUUUCUGCUGAAUUCCCUCCUGCAAUCGUGGUUGAAAGGAGCUGGAGGCAUCUGGUGUACCAUCUUCCUGCUUCGUAGACUGUAAAUCAUCUGGAAAAUGAUGGCUUUCGCGGGGCUACUCAUAUUUGGUGAGAUUGCCUCCACCCAGAGGGUCCUUUCCUGUGUGUUUUUCCUGCAACUUGUUUCCUGCCUGGACGUCCGUCCACUGCUUGCCAGGUCAGUACCCGGAAAAGUCAGCAUGAAAGGCAAUGCCAAAGGGCAACUGGCUGAAAUGAGAUCCCUGCAUGGGUGCAAGGCAAAGCAAGCCUUCCUGAGCACCAGGGGACCUGCCUGAACUCACCGCAGAUGGACGUACAAGUGCUAAUCAUAAGGCCACCGCAAGUCAUGUUAGGUAAGGAGACAAGCGUUCUAAAGGAAAGGAAUUAAGGUCACACCAUUCCUCUACUGACACUAAUGGAUCUUAAAGGUUCAGAUGUAGAGAGACAGAGAUAAGAGUUUUAGAAAACAUUAAUAUUUACCAUCUACAUUCCAUAUUAGCACCUGUAGGGCAGAAUUUUGUGUAAAAAAUGGCUACAUGUCAAUCUAGUAAGUAUCCAUUUACUGAAAUAAAUUCUACCAUGGAAAGACCUAAGAAAAAACAAAAGCCUAAUAAAUUAAUCAAAAUGAUAUCAACAUAAUUGAACAGAACCCACUGAAUAAGUAGCACAGAAAUGUCUAUUU
ensembl:lncRNA